GUGGGGAAUAUUGGGCAAUGGGGGAAACCCUGACCCAGCAACGCCGCGUGAGGGAAGAAGGCUUUCGAGUUGUAAACCUCUGUCCUAUGGGAAGAAGAAAGUGACUGUACCAUAGGAGGAAGCUCCGGCUAACUACGUGCCAGCAGCCGCGGUAAUACGUAGGGAGCAAGCGUUGUCCGGAAUUACUGGGCGUAAAGGGUGCGUAGGCGGCGCAGUUAGUCAGAAGUGAAAUAUCGGGGCUUAACCCCGGGGCUGCUUCUGAUACUGCUGUGCUCGAGUGCAGGAGAGGUAAGUGGAAUUCCUAGUGUAGCGGUGAAAUGCGUAGAUAUUAGGAGGAACACCAGUGGCGAAGGCGACUUACUGGACUGUAACUGACGCUGAGGCACGAAAGCGUGGGUAGCAAACAGGA
rnacentral:rRNA from 1 species